AUGAACGCUGGCGGCGUGCCUCAUACAUGCAAGUCGAGCGAACGGACGAGAAGCUUGCUUCUCUGAUGUUAGCGGCGGACGGGUGAGUAACACGUGGAUAACCUACCUAUAAGACUGGGAUAAUUUCGGGAAACCGGAGCUAAUACCGGAUAAUAUUUUGAACCGCAUGGUUCAAAAGUGAAGGACGGUCUUGCUGUCACUUAUAGAUGGAUCCGCGCUGCAUUAGCUAGUUGGUAAGGUAACGGCUUACCAAGGCAACGAUGCAUAGCCGACCUGAGAGGGUGAUCGGCCACACUGGAACUGAGACACGGUCCAGACUCCUACGGGAGGCAGCAGUAGGGAAUCUUCCGCAAUGGGCGAAAGCCUGACGGAGCAACGCCGCGUGAGUGAUGAAGGUCUUCGGAUCGUAAAACUCUGUUAUUAGGGAAGAACAUAUGUGUAAGUAACUGUGCACAUCUUGACGGUACCUAAUCAGAAAGCCACGGCUAACUACGUG
rnacentral:rRNA from 1 species